CAGUCGCCGCGGUAAAACGUAGGGUGCAAGCGUUAAUCGGAAUUACUGGGCGUAAAGCGUGCGCAGGCGGUUAUAUAAGACAGAUGUGAAAUCCCCGGGCUCAACCUGGGAACUGCAUUUGUGACUGUAUAGCUAGAGUACGGCAGAGGGGGAUGGAAUUCCGCGUGUAGCAGUGAAAUGCGUAGAUAUGCGGAGGAACACCGAUGGCGAAGGCAAUCCCCUGGGCCUGUACUGACGCUCAUGCACGAAAGCGUGGGGAGCAAACAGGAUUAGAUACCCCAGUAGUCCCUGUCUCUUAUAU
rnacentral:rRNA from 1 species